AAGUCGUAACAAGGUUUCCGUAGGUGAACCUGCGGAAGGAUCAUUACCUAGAGUUUGUAGACUUCGGUCUGCUACCUCUUACCCAUGUCUUUUGAGUACCUUCGUUUCCUCGGCGGGUCCGUCCGCCGAUUGGACAACAUUCAAACCCUUUGCAGUUGCAAUCAGCGUCUGAAAAAACAUAAUAGUUACAACUUUCAACAACGGAUCUCUUGGUUCUGGCAUCGAUGAAGAACGCAGCGAAAUGCGAUAAGUAGUGUGAAUUGCAGAAUUCAGUGAAUCAUCGAAUCUUUGAACGCACAUUGCGCCCCUUGGUAUUCCAUGGGGCAUGCCUGUUCGAGCGUCAUUUGUACCUUCAAGCUCUGCUUGGUGUUGGGUGUUUGUCUCGCCUCUGCGUGUAGACUCGCCUUAAAACAAUUGGCAGCCGGCGUAUUGAUUUCGGAGCGCAGUACAUCUCGCGCUUUGCACUCAUAACGACGACGUCCAAAAGUACAUUUUUACACUCUUGACCUCGGAUCAGGUAGGGAUACCCGCUGAACUUAAGCAUAUCA
rnacentral:rRNA from 1 species